rnacentral:rRNA from 1 species
CAGUCGCCACGGUAAUACGGAGGGUGCAAGCGUUAAUCGGAAUUACUGGGCGUAAAGCGCACGCAGGCGGUCUGACAAGUCAGAUGUGAAAUCCCCGGGCUUAACCUGGGAACUGCAUUUGAAACUGUCAGACUGGAGUCUUGUAGAGGGGGGUAGAAUUCCAGGUGUAGCGGUGAAAUGCGUAGAGAUCUGGAGGAAUACCGGUGGCGAAGGCGGCCCCCUGGACAAAGACUGACGCUCAGGUGCGAAAGCGUGGGGAGCAAACAGGAUUAGAGACCCCUGUAGUCCCUGUCUCUUAUAC